UGUAACGAUGUUUAAAGCAGGUCUUGUGCGGUUACAGAGGACAUGACAGCAUCAAGAGUUUGUAGGAGAAUCAUGAUGAUAAUCAGUUGCAAUGUGAACUAACAAAUAACCUUGAAGUACAAGCAGAUCCAAUUAAUGUGGAACAAAUGAAGGAGAAUCAUGAUGAUGAUAAGUUGCAAUGUGAACUACCAAAUUACCAUGAAGUGCAACCAGAUUCAAAGCAUAUGGAACAAACAGAGGUGGAAUCAACUUCAGACGACAACUUUUCCAAACACCUUGUGAAAGUCAUCUGAAUGCCAGGAUUCUCAAGAGCAUGAAGAUAGUCCAUUACAUAGAAGGAAAACCUUGAUUAUGUAUCUUGAUGCCAUUGGUGAAAAGGCAGAGGUCUGAC